CUCAGUGAAUGAUUUUAUUCUACAAUUGUCCGGAUCACCUAUUGGUUUAAGCCCACUCUACCCUUACACAAAGAAGUAAUUAUAGCCUACGUCUACCCUUACGCAAAGGAGAGAUAACACGUAAUGUUUGUUAAUGCAAUUCAGACACAAUAGUCCUACAUCUGCGAAGCCUCGCUCAAUGACACUGAUCCCAAUUAUCACAAAUCGUUCACCCAAAUACAUCACAAUACAAACAAUAAACUCUUUAAGGAAUACCUAAAAAAAAGUGUCACAAAAUAACCACAAGAAAAUAUAGCAAAGUUGUUGACAAAG
rnacentral:lncRNA from 1 species